UACGUAGGGAGCAAGCGUUAUCCGGAUUUAUUGGGUGUAGAGGGUGCGUAGACGGGAAAACAAGUUAGUUGUGAAAUCCCUCGGCUUAACUGAGGAACUGCAACUAAAACUAUUUUUCUUGAGUGCUGGAGAGGAAAGUGGAAUUCCUAGUGUAGCGGUGAAAUGCGUAGAUAUUAGGAGGAACACCAGUGGCGAAGGCGACUUUCUGGACAGUAACUGACGUUGAGGCACGAAAGUGUGGGGAGCAAACAGG
rnacentral:rRNA from 1 species